rfam:Sordaria macrospora k-hell, WGS project CABT02000000 data, contig: 2.32
GGUCCGAUGGUGUAGUUGGUUAUCACGUCAGUCUAACACACUGAAGGUCCUGAGAUCGAGCCUCAGUCGGAUCA